rnacentral:lncRNA from 1 species
GCCAAACACAGAAAAGCCCUUCAACUGAAUGUUGAGUUGACUCCUUGCCUCACUGUGUGAUGAUGGGCCCAUCUGUUUAACUCAGUUUCUUCACCUUCACCCUAAGGUCUUUGAAGAUGCAAACAGAAUAACUUGUGUCUGAAAACUGGGAUGUACUUAGUGAGUUUCAGGCUACAAUUAUCCCAGCGCUGGUCAUUUCUUAUGAGUAGAUGUGGGCGACAACCUCUUCAUUGCACCAUAAGGUGAGUGAAGGGCUCUGAGUGGAUGAACUCCUGUAUCACUUGAUUCUGGCGGUCAUUCAUAAUUACAUAUCUGAAAUAUUUUUAUUUUGACAAAAUUAUACAUCAGAAGCCACCAAUAUUCCUCCAUGGCACAGUAAAUUAUACAGCAAAAUGCAUGCUUAUCUCUGAAGGGCUGUAUGUGUGCAGUUCAACAACAUUAUGCUGACACCUUGUGGUCACAGCUUUGACUGCAUCCAAAUUACCACUUGUAACAGAGCAGCCAGCGUUCUCCACUUACCACUCCUGUUUUCACAAUCCUGGUCCCUUGGAAGAUCCGGGUAGUAUUAGCUGAGAAACAAAGAAGUUAUGAUGUAAACAACACACAAUGCUCAGAUGUGCUCCCAAUAAAACCUUCCAAUGGACACACAAAUCUAAACUACACAUAAUUUUCAUGUUACAAAUAUUAUUUCUUUGUACUCUUUCCAACCAUUCCCCCUCCAAGUCAUACAGACAUAUUCAGAUGACUGGGAUCUAGCCAACUGUUUCUGCCAAGCAAUUCACCUAAACUCUGUAAUUAUUAAGGUUUUGUUUCAUUGAGAUAGAACUUCAACAACAGUGAGAUGCCCAGGAUUCGAUUACAUCUAACACCUGAGCAACUACAUUAAGGUGCAUUUUCUUUCUUUUUAAAAAUGAUUUAUUUAUUAUGUAUACAUAAUUUUGCCUGCAGGUAUGCCCGUAGGGCAGAAGAGGGCACCAGAUCUCAUUACAGACGGUUGUGAGCCACCAUGUGGUUGCUGGGAAUUGAACUCAGGACCUCUGGAAGAGCAACCAGUGCUCUUAAACCUCUGAGCCAUUUCUCCAGCCCAGGAAGCAUUUUCAAGUACUGUUGGGUUUCUGGGUUUCAUAUAUUUUU